UUGAUUUGAUCUGCCUACUACAGUUAGUUGAAAGUUUUGCUACCGCAUUUUGCAAUUUUGUGUAGAGGUGUUGGUGUUGACUGUUGAAUUACCAGAAUUUUUGUUGCUGAAGAAUCUCUUGAAGCCUUUCCAAGGUUAUGAUUUGCUAUGCCUAUGGCCAUGACUUAUUUUUCUUUGCAGAAAUGAGCUUUUGAUAUUUGUUCUUGUUAUAAGACUAAAUUACUUUGGCGUUACGAUAUUUUUAAUCUCACAUUCCUGCCAAACCUUGGUAACCACCCUCACAUGUGCAAUUUGCAGGGAAAGAACAGGGCAAAGGUGACCAAGACGAGUGCGGUUCAAGAUAGCAUAAAUAUCUUAUGUUAAAAUAGGUUUGUCAAGUUCUGUUACGUAGACCGUAUGAGUUGAUGUUAUGGAUCAAAGGACUUAAAGUGAGCUAUGAUUGCAGAGGUAGCUCUUACUGAUGAAACAUGAGGGGCUGAUUCAGAUCGUGGGAGAUAGACAAUGAAACACUCUUUUCGGUGGAGAUGAAUCUACGCAAUAGGUUCGGAAUCAGACUUGAGAAAGUUACUUGCGAAACAUGAGGGGCUGAUUCAGAUUGUGGGAGAUAGACAAUGAAACACUCUUUUCGGUGGAGAUGAAUCUACGCAAUAGGUUCGGAAUCAGACUUGAGAAAGUUACUUGCGAAACAUGAGGGGCUGAUUCAGAUUAUGGGAGAUAGACAAUGAAACACUCUUUUCAGUGGAGAUGAAUCUACGCAAUAGGUUCGGAAUCAGACUUGAGAAAGUUACUUGCAAUGAAACAGGUCAUCAACACAAAUGGAGAAUGGUAGAUGAAAAUUCUACUGCAAGUGUCACAGUGACUCUUUUGUUUGAAACACUUUCUACUGCCAAUUUUUCUAGCCACAAGGACACCAUCAAAUCUCUUUAAUGCCUAGCCUUAUAUGAAUGUCCAAAUAUGGCUUUCUCUCCUGAACAAAUUCCCACCAAUCUUGUUGGAUAUGGUUAAUACUUUGCAUGGGCUUGAAGUUCCUUACGUAGACGUAUUCGGGGGUCCCACUUGCUGGUGAGUGGGCGGGUUACCCCCUUCACGGUAGUCCAAUUAGUAAUUGGACUUGUUAUUGUUUUACUAAUAUUUGGGUCUAGGUGUGGUUAAAUUCGGGUAGGCCCAAAUGAGAUAGGGUUUCCUAUUAUAUGAUGUAGUAAUAAGAAACCAGGGGUUUAAGACAAAAUAGAGAGAGUGAGCUACGGUUAUUAAGAUUGUAAUUUCAGAGUUUUAAAACAUAAUACAAAAUCUCUAUUUGAAUGCUAAACGUAAAUCCUUAAUUGAAAUGAACCAGGGUAAAUCAAGUUUCCAUUU